rnacentral:lncRNA from 1 species
UCACACAUGUAUAUGUGUGUGUAUUUAUACAUGUACACUACUUGUAUGCCCCAUAUAUAGAUGCAGAUAUGUGAUACUUGGAAGGAUACAUGGAAACAAAAGCAUGUGGGGAAAAAAUACGGAUGAAGGGGUCUGGUUGCCUUCAGAGGUGUCCUUCUUGGCAACAAACCUGUGUAUAUGCUCUUCCUUUUGGGGAGAAGUGAGCCUCUUCUCUGUGCUGAGGACCAGGUGAGUUAAACUCAGC